AAGGAAGAAUCCGAAAAUCCUCAAAAAGAGUAGGAA
rnacentral:ncRNA from 1 species